rnacentral:rRNA from 1 species
CGGCAGCACGGGUGCUUGCACCUGGUGGCGAGUGGCGAACGGGUGAGUAAUACAUAGGAACAUGCCCAGUAAUGGGGGAUAACGCCGAGAAAUCGGUGCUAAUACCGCAUACGCCCUACGGGGGAAAGCGGGGGAUCUUCGGACCUCGCGUUAUUGGAUUGGCCUAUGUCUGAUUAGCUAGUUGGUGAGGUAAAGGCUCACCAAGGCGACGAUCAGUAGCUGGUCUGAGAGGAUGAUCAGCCACACUGGAACUGAGACACGGUCCAGACUCCUACGGGAGGCAGCAGUGGGGAAUUUUGGACAAUGGGCGAAAGCCUGAUCCAGCCAUUCCGCGUGAGUGAAGAAGGCCUUCGGGUUGUAAAGCUCUUUCGGCAGGAACGAAAUGGUUGCGGUUAAUAACCGCGACUUCUGACGGUACCUGAAGAAGAAGCACCGGCUAACUACGUGCCAGCAGCCGCGGUAAUACGUAGGGUGCGAGCGUUAAUCGGAAUUACUGGGCGUAAAGCGUGCGCA